UACAGAGGGUGCGAGCGUUGUCCGGAAUCACUGGGCGUAAAGGGCGCGUAGGCGGCUUGAUAAGCGUGCGGUGAAAGCCCGGGGCUCAACCCCGGGUCGGCCGUGCGAACUGUCGAGCUGGAGCACUGUAGAGGCAGGUGGAAUUUCGGGUGUAGCGGUGGAAUGCGUAGAGAUCCGGAAGAACACCGGUGGCGAAGGCGGCCUGCUGGGCAGUGGCUGACGCUGAGGCGCGACAGCGUGGGGAGCAAACAGG
rnacentral:rRNA from 1 species